rnacentral:sRNA from 1 species
AAACUAUUUAUUUAUUUUCUUCUAGUUUGGGUUUUAGUGGAAAAACGGUCUAUUUCCUCACGAGAAGUACCGUAUCAUGCCAAAUAGAGCUCAAACUUCAACCCCGGUCUACAUGUCCAUGAAAACAAAGUUUUAAACCUAUUUCUCCCCGAAACGUAAGUUCUAUAGCUAAAUCUCCCCAAAUUAAUACUUCGAGAUCUAUUAACACAUAUAUCUGGUUUUUGUCGGUUUAAUGUACACCAAUUCAGUCUUAACCAUUUGAAAAC